CUGCUGCCUUCCGUAGGAGUCUGGGCCGUGUCUCAGUCCCAAUGUGGCCGUCCACCCUCUCAGGCCGGCUACUGAUCGCUGCCUUGGUAGGCCGUUACCCUGCCAACUAGCUAAUCAGACGCGGAUCCAUCUUACACCACCGGAGUUUUUCACACUCCCCCAUGCGGGGCUGUGCGCUUAUGCGGUAUUAGCACCUAUUUCUAAGUGUUAUCCCCCAGUGUAAGGCAGGUUAUCCACGCGUUACUCACCCGUCCG
rnacentral:rRNA from 1 species